rnacentral:lncRNA from 1 species
ACAUAUAAAUGAUUCUAAGGCCUUCUGACCUGUCUUUCAAUAGGAUGGUAUUACCCAACAAUUAUGACGUCUACACAUACUUUUCAUUUUCAAUCACAUUGGGACAAAUUUUUAUCUUUAUCUCAUUUCUGCUUUCUCCUGUAUGUAUAAGUGCUGAUAUUUUACUGCUCUCUACAAAGAGUAAAGUCUAUUAUGGUCUUACAACUUAAAUUUGAUUCCAAGACAAAGGUUAAUUGGUAAAGAUUAUUUCCCAAGCGUUAAUAUUGUACAUGAAUCAGAAGGUCAGAUGGCAUUUCUGGAUCUGACAGCUCUUAUCAUAAUGAAGGUUUGAAAGAAAUGUCAUCUUGCGUACUAAUUAAUGGUUUUAGCCCUAGUGAGAGAUCUUUUAUUUAACGCCAGUAAGUUAAUCGCAGUUGAUGUCUGUGAACUGUCAACUCUCAAGCUAUGCAUCUAUUUGAGGUCAUUGCUGACAAAACCCCUAUUUUACAGGCAAGAUCACUGAAUAUACAUCACUUGCCAAUGUAUCAUAGACAUUUGAAAACUUAUAGAAUUCAGCAAAUAUUGUUCAUUUUAUUUACUCAUUUUUUAAUAGUAAUUACAAACUAUGAAUGGAAAAAGCUAUAAUUUAAUCAUUGGACUACAUACAUUCAAUUUUUAAAAAAGACUCUGCUAAAUAGAAAAGUGUUUGAAGUAUUUAUUUUUCCCUAAGUAAAAAAGUAAUUUUGUGAGACAGUCACAAUUAUAAUCCUGAUUUCUAAAAUUUAUUAAUUUGAGAUCUUCAUUAGAAGAAUUGAGACAUUUUUUCUUCUGAAAACAAGACACAUACACAAAUAUAUAUAUAUAUAUGAAAAACUUCCAAUAUUUAAGAAGUAUUUCCUCUGAACAUUCUUAGUUACAAAUGCUAUUUUAAAUUUUUAAUAUUUGCUACUGAUAAUCUGAGAGUGUCACAUUUAUUAUCCUGUUUCAGCCGUAAGUGAAUAAGUGUUACUGCAUUUUAGCAGAACUUUAUUUACGAAAACAGGCUAGAUUUGGCCAAGGUUCAUAGUUUCCUGACCACAGUUCUUAAACAUAGCAAAAGGUAUACAAGGUAAACUCACAUUUUCUAGAUGACCAAUCACCCAGGUUUCCAGGACAAGGAAAUGUUUGUUAGUUUAAGAAGCAGGGCAAUCCUAGACAAACUGGAUUAGUUGGUUACUUUACUUUUUCCUAGAUUCUAAUAUCAUUUGUUCAUUCAAUAAUUCAUUUAACACUGAGGGUCUAUCAACAUUCAACAAACGCAAAGUUUCAAAUUAAAACAAAAGCACUUACAUGUUCUGCCAUUAUCAGACAAUUAUAUGACAUGUUAUUUUGCAGCCAAUUGUAAAAGGCAUUUUUUUACUUUAUUAUUAAUUUUAAAUUUAGACAUACCUUAAAAUGGACAUACUAUAGUAAACAUCAACAUAAAACAAGAUAAUGGAAUAUUAUUCAAAUAAAAAGAUACAAUAUAGCAAUAUAAACUUUUUUGAAUUUAUGUCCUAUAGAAGUUCU